rnacentral:rRNA from 1 species
GACAGAGGCCCCAAGCGUUAGGCGGAAUCACUGGGCUUAAAGCGUGUGUAGGCGGACGGCUAAGUGUCUUGUGAAAUCCCACGGCUCACCCGUGGAACUGCUGGGCAUACUGGGCGUCUUGGGCCAACUAGGGGCAGCCGGAACAAGCGGUGGAGCGGUGAAAUGCGUAGAUAUCGCUUGGAACGCCGAAGGUGAAAACAGGCUGCUGGGGUUGCGCCGACGCUGAGACACGAAAGCCAGGGGAGCAAACGGG